CACCAAGCGCAUCAAACACUGAGACAUUUCUUUUGAGACUGCAUAAAAUCGUGAUCCGUAUCAAAGAGAGAGAUCCUUUCUCUGGAUAUUCCUGCUCUUAUGAGUAUGAAGAAUUUCACGGAGCAUUACAGUAAUGCACUGGUACUCGCUCAUCAAACAAAUUUUGGGUUCUAACUGAACAUCGUAAAGAAGAUUGAACAUUGGGGAGCAUAAUGGACGAUUCUGCUCUCUACGCUGCAUUUUCCAUUUUUAUCAUGUGAAGAGGCAAAUGCCUAUGCUCAUGGGGAUUUAAAA